UGGACCGGAUACAGGUGCUGCAUGGCUGUCGUCAGCUCGUGUCGUGAGAUGUUGGGUUAAGUCCCGCAACGAGCGCAACCCUCGCCCUAGUUGCCAGCAUUUAGUUGGGCACUCUAAGGGGACUGCCGGUGAUAAGCCGAGAGGAAGGUGGGGAUGACGUCAAGUCCUCAUGGCCCUUACGGGCUGGGCUACACACGUGCUACAAUGGUCGGUACAAAGGGUUGCCAAGCCGCGAGGUGGAGCUAAUCCCAUAAAACCGAUCGUAGUCCGGAUCGCAGUCUGCAACUCGACUGCGUGAAGUCGGAAUCGCUAGUAAUCGUGAAUCAGAAUGUCACGGUGAAUACGUUCCCGGGCCUU
rnacentral:rRNA from 1 species